UGGAAGAGGAAUAGGGAUGCGACAUGGCACAGAGGGUUCUGACACGCUUUCCUAUAUUAACUGUCCCUGUGGACAGAGAUCACACAAGCUCAGUCUGCUCAAUCUGUUCCAGGAAAAGACAGGAAGAAAAUUUACGAUUAUCAGAAACAAUAUUCUCAACACUCAGACAGGAUGAAGAGAUCUGAGAAGACAAGAGAUGGACUGGUUUCAAGAAGUGCAUGAUGGGUACUGGAGAACUGCACUCAUGUAGAUAUCGUUCAUGAAGAUUUGAAGUCAGUAGCAAUAUUGCAAAAUUCAUGCUGUCCUGAAUAAACUGCACAAUAACAGCCUUACCCUCUGCACAAGGCUUUCAACGGGGCUCCAGCUGAACGAGACGUGGAAUUCAGAACAGAUGAAGCAUA